rnacentral:tRNA from 1 species
ACUAUUUUGACAGAAAAAUGUAAUAAAUUUAGAAUUUAUUGAUGUAAUUAUAUUAUUACAAAUAGUA